UUCCGCAAUGGGCGAAAGCCUGACGGAGCAAGACCGCGUGGGGGAAGAAGGCUCUUGGGUUGUAAACCCCUUUUCUCUGGGAAGAAAGUUGUGAAAGCAGCCUGACGGUACCAGAGGAAUCAGCAUCGGCUAACUCCGUGCCAGCAGCCGCGGUAAGACGGAGGAUGCAAGCGUUAUCCGGAAUGAUUGGGCGUAAAGCGUCCGCAGGUGGCAGUUCAAGUCUGCUGUCAAAGACCGGGGCUCAACCUCGGAAAGGCAGUGGAAACUGAACAGCUAGAGUAUGGUAGGGGCAAAGGGAAUUCCUGGUGUAGCGGUGAAAUGCGUAGAGAUCAGGAAGAACAUCGGUGGCGAAGGCGCU
rnacentral:rRNA from 1 species